UACGUAGGGUGCAGGCGUUGUCCGGAAUUAUUGGGCGUAAAGAGCUCGUAGGCGGUUUGUCGCGUCUGCUGUGAAAACUCGGGGCUUAACCCCGGGCCUGCAGUGGGUACGGGCAGACUAGAGUGCGGUAGGGGAGACUGGAAUUCCUGGUGUAGCGGUGAAAUGCGCAGAUAUCAGGAGGAACACCGGUGGCGCAGGCGGGUCUCUGGGCCGUAACUGACGCUGAGGAGCGAAAGCGUGGGGAGCGAACAGG
rnacentral:rRNA from 1 species